rnacentral:rRNA from 1 species
UUGCCUCAGUAACGGCGAGUGAAGCGGCAAUAGCUCAAAUUUGAAAUCUGCUCUUUUUGAGCCGAAUUGUAAUUUGUAGAGGAUGCUUCGGCUUACGUCUCGGUCUAAGUUCCUUGGAACAGGACGUCACAGAGGGUGAGAAUCCCGUUUGUGGCCGCGACUUCCGCCAUGUGAAGCUCCUUCGACGAGUCGAGUUGUUUGGGAAUGCAGCUCUAAAUGGGAGGUAUAUUUCUUCUAAAGCUAAAUACCGGCCAGAGACCGAUAGCGCACAAGUAGAGUGAUCGAAAGAUGAAAAGCACUUUGGAAAGAGAGUUAAAAAGUACGUGAAAUUGUUGAAAGGGAAGCGCUUGCGACCAGACUUGCCCGCGGAUGCUCAACCGGUCCUUCGGCCGGUGCACUCUUCCGCGGUCAGGCCAGCAUCAGUUCGAGUAGCCAGAUAAAGGCUUAGGGAAUGUGGCUCUCUUCGGGGAGUGUUAUAGCCCUUUGUGCAAUAUGGCUCACUUGGACUGAGGCCCGCGCUUCGGCUAGGAUGCUGGCGUAAUGGUCGUAAGCGGCCCGUCUUGAAACACGGACCAAGGAGUCUAACAUCUAUGCGAGUGUUUGGGUGUCAAACCCGUGCGCGAAAUGAAAGUGAACGGAGGUGGGAACCUUUUGGGUGCACCAUCGACCGAUCCUGAUGUCUUCGGAUGGAUUUGAGUAAGAGCAUAGCUGUUGGGACCCGAAAGAUGGUGAACUAUGCCUGAAUAGGGUGAAGCCAGAGGAAACUCUGGUGGAGGCUCGCAGCGGUUCUGACGUGCAAAUCGAUCGUCAAAUUUGGGUAUAGGGGCGAAA